rnacentral:rRNA from 1 species
UACGAAGGGGGCUAGCGUUGCUCGGAUUGACUGGGCGUAAAGGGCGCGUAGGCGGUUUGCUUAGUCAGACGUGAAAUUCCUGGGCUUAACCUGGGGGCUGCGUUUGAUACAUGCAGGCUUGAGUUCGGAAGAGGGUCGUGGAAUUCCCAGUGUAGAGGUGAAAUUCAUAGAUAUUGGGAAGAACACCGGUGGCGAAGGCGGCGACCUGGUCCGAUACUGACGCUGAGGCGCGAAAGCGUGGGGAGCGAACAGG